AAAUUUUAUAAAGUGUUUUACUUCAAUGAUUAUACUGUAAGGAUUUCAUAAAUAAUCUUUUAAUUGAUUAGAGUCAAGAGCUCUAUUUAAAUUUAAUUCAUCUUAACCGUAGCCUACUUCCCCACCAUUACAUUUUUUUUUUCUUUCUUUUUCCCCACCACUACACCUACUCUUUCACUUCACUACCAACUUUCACCACCAACUCUCCUUUAUGCAGACAAUCAAAUCCUCAUAAUCUUAGCAAAUCUUAUCAUCAAAAUCUUAUCAUCAAUCCUCUGCCAUUUCAAUUAGACAAAAGCCAAGUUUUAAAAGCUAAGUUUCCUUCUAUUAGUUCAUCCGCUCUUUCCUUCUCUUUUCAACACACCCAACAAAGUUUAAAGUGCAGAGUAAUCAAGCAGAUUCAGAUCCAAAUUCAUUGUUAAAUUGUUGAUUCGCAGAUCAAACUUUGUGAGUUCAGAAAAUUAUCAAGGUUCGGGCGACAGAAAGUGAAGCCGAAGAAGAAACGACUCCACGCCAGCUUUAAGAACAAUUGAGGUUGAGCAGGCGAUGGAAUGGAUCGGUGUUGAGCGGAUUUCCCUUUUGAUGUUUAUGUAAUGAAACCUUGAGUAUGCAUCUCCAUAUGCAUAACUCACACGUUUUUUCGCUGCAAACACUCUGAAUUUGUUAUCGUAUUGUGGAACUUAUUACUCCUUCAUUUUGUUUAACUUUCAUUUGGGGUUUAGUCGUUAUGGCUGGCUCGUUUGUUAAUUACCCAAGUGGUUAUAUAUAUAUACCACUAGUUUGUUGUUA